rnacentral:rRNA from 1 species
ACGGGAGGCAGCAGUGGGGAAUAUUGCACAAUGGGGGAAACCCUGAUGCAGCGACGCCGCGUGAGUGAAGAAGUAUUUCGGUAUGUAAAGCUCUAUCAGCAGGGAAGAAAAUGACGGUACCUGAGUAAGAAGCCCCGGCUAACUACGUGCCAGCAGCCGCGGUAAUACGUAGGGGGCAAGCGUUAUCCGGAUUUACUGGGUGUAAAGGGAGCGUAGACGGGAUGGCAAGUCAGAUGUGAAAGGCAUGGGCUUAACCUGUGGACUGCAUUUGAAACUGUCAGCCUAGAGUGCCGGAGAGGUAAGCGGAAUUCCUAGUGUAGCGGUGAAAUGCGUAGAUAUUAGGAGGAACACCAGUGGCGAAGGCGGCUUACUGGACGGUAACUGACGUUGAGGCUCGAAAGCGUGGGGAGCAAACAGGAUUAGAUACCCUGGUA